rnacentral:lncRNA from 1 species
CAUCCCCACCCCAUAACCCUAUUAGGACUGCGGGUGCUGCCCCAUAACACCUCUCCCUUCUCUCCCCCCGCAGCGCCCAGCCGUGGGGGCACCCGCCAGCACCCCCCCUGCACCCGCCCCGUCCUACAACGGCUCCGAAAUCCAGUGGACCCCGUAAGUAGGGCCGGGAGGGGCCCGGUGUCCCCGCGCAGGGCGAGCAGCCCCUCACCGUGGCGUCCCGCAGGUACCGGGCGCUCUACCAGUACCGGCCCCAAAACGCCGACGAGCUGGAGCUGCAGGAAGGGGACCGCGUGGACGUCAUGCAGCAGUGCGACGACGGCUGGUUCGUGGGCGUCUCCAGGAGGACGCAGAAAUUCGGCACUUUCCCCGGCAAUUACGUGGCGCCCGUGUGAGCCGCGGCGCGGAGCGGAGGAGCCACGGCCCCACGGGGACGCGAAGCGCCUCCAGCUCCUGCUGCCCCUAUGGGGUGCCUCUAACAGGGACCAAUCCUCCGCCCGGUGCCUUAACCCGACGCCCUCCUCGCCUCUGCCCGGUGCCUUAUCGCCCACCGCCCCGGUGGCCGUGCCUCUCCUUCCCUCUCCGGAUGGUGCUGGGGGGGGUCCCCGGUGGGUCCCCGGCCCGGCCGUGACGGCUGCGACUCGAGACGCCGGCCCGGGGCCGUGCCACGCGUGCCUUUGCUUCUUGUCCGUCAUUAAAGCUCAGCUCAGCCCGAGCCGAGGCCCUGCCUGGUGGCGCCGGGACGGGAGGGAGAUGGUGGGGUGGUGCCCGUGGGGACGUGUGGGGCAGGGACCCGUGGGGCUGGCUGUGGGGCUGCGUGGCGGCGAGUGGUCGUGUGUGGUUAGGGGUGACGCUGCGUGGGGCUCCAGUGGGGUAUGUGGGGCUGCAACGGUGCUCGUGGGGCUGCCGUGGUGUUUGUGGGGGAUUUUGAUGGUGCUUACGGGACUUGCGGCAGUGCACGGGGCAUGCCGUGGUGCCUGUGGGGUUGCAGUGCUGCUUGUGGGGCUGCAACAGUGCUCGUGGGGCUGCAGUGGUGCUCGUGGGGCUGCAGUGGUGUUUGUGGGGUUGCAGUGGUGUUUGUGGGGGAUUUUAAUGGUAUUUGUGGGACUUGCAGCAGUGCACGGGGCGUGCCGUGGUGCUUGUGGGGUUGCAAUGGUGCAUGUGGGGGGAUUUUAAUGUUCUUGUGGGACUUGCGGCAGUGUGAUAGAGGCCUUGCAAAGAUGCAUGGGGGGGCUGCAAUGGUGCAGGGGGGGGUUGCAAUGGUGCAAAGGGGUUGUAAAGGUGCAGGGGGGUUGCAGUGGUGCAUGGGCGGGUUGCAACGGUGCAGAGGGGUGCUGCAAUUGUGGGGGGGUUGCAACGGUGCAGGGGGGUCGCAGCGGUGCAUGGGGGGGUUUAUAAAGGUGCAUGAGGGGUUUGCAAUGGUGCAUGGGGGGCUGUAAAGGUGCGUGGGGGGGCUGUAAAGGUGCAUGGGGGGGUUGCAGUGGUGCAAAGGGGCUGUACAGGGGGGGCUGCAGUGCUUCUCGGGGCUCUGCCCCAGCACAUCCCUGAUGCCGCGGGGGGUGUGAGAGUCCCACGGGGCAGCGCCCUGUUGGUCCGCAGUGCCUCCCCCCCCCCAAAAAAAAGGGGCAGGGUCCUCGGGCACCUCCUGCCCCCCCC